UUGAGAGUUUGAUCCUGGCUCAGAACGAACGCUGGCGGCAGGCUUAACACAUGCAAGUCGAGCGCACUCUUCGGAGUGAGCGGCGGACGGGUUAGUAACGCGUGGGAACGUGCCCUUUUCUAAGGAAUAGCCACUGGAAACGGUG
rnacentral:rRNA from 1 species